rnacentral:lncRNA from 1 species
CCUUCCCUAAGUUCUCCCAGGGCGCUGCCAGAGCCCUGCCGGCUAAGGGAUGGGGAAACAAACAGGUGGGGCUGUAAUCUCGUAAUUCCCAGUCAAAAGAGGUAGGAAGGGAUGCUGAGGACCCAGGGAUACUGAUGAUUGGGCUGACCCAGAAGUGGCCAUCUUUGUGGAAACCAGUCAUCCAGAGUAAAGUCAUAGGGCUCAAAGUCUUUCCGGAAGCGGCGAGCCAGGGUCUCCUCGUCUUCCUUGCUGAUCUGACACUGCCUCCAGUCAGACUUAUCAGGAACAUUAAGGAUGGCUUCACUGGCCAGGACCUCCCUGCAGAAAUAGCACAAAGAAGUCAAAAUGGAAACUAUCAGCCUGAGCUCUCCUCAACAUCACCCAAAGGAGGGGACUCAGGCCCACGUAACAGCAGCACAAGCCCAAUGUCAACAAAACAACUAUCUUGGCUCUUAGGACUAAAGAAUAACUACAUACAGACACACUCACACACAAGCUGCCUUCUAAUCGCCAUUGCUUUAUAUUUUUAUUUUUACUUAUUUUGAUAUAUUAGAAAUAAUUCUAUUACACAUUUAUAUGGUUCAUUUUCCACUUUGAAGUUACAGUAAAUAGAAGAGUUAGAAACAAAUCAUGAAUUCUCUAUAAGUCAAAGAACCUAAGCUCCCUGGGCAAACUUUGAGCCUAUUUCAAAUAUAAAAGGAAAAUAGAACUACCUUUCUUGUACAGCUGAAAAAAAUAUGCCAUUUCAAAUAUUUUGUUAACUAUAAAAUGCUAUAUAACUAUAAAUUAGUAUCUUGAUAAUUACUCAAUAUUGAAAAUACAUCAUAAGCACAAAACCAUUCAGAGAAUCUUCUUUUUGUGUGCUUUAUACGCCUAUGUGUAUCUGCAAUCGUGUGCUUAUGUUGUCAAUGUUCAUAACCGCAUCUGUUGCUGAGGCAACAACGAAAACAUCACGUCAGAUGUCUGAAUCUCGUAGCACACUUGUUCCCAUUUAUCUUUUUGAAAAAUGUAGACAACUACAUUUACUGGACUUAUCUAAGGGGGCAAUCUCUUGGAGGCUUUCUGAAUUAGUCCAAGACAGGUUCAAGGCUCACUCAAAGCCCAUUUUUAACUAGGGGAGAAAAAACAGCUGCAAAUCACAGACACCAGCAUCAGAUACUCUGUUCUACACAUUUUCCACUCCCCUUCAAACUGUAUCUUCUUGCCAGCAACUUCCCAUCUUCAAUCUUUGCUUAAGUUAUGUUACUCCCUCUAUGGUUUUGCAGUCAUGUUUUGCCUGAUACGAGGAACAGAACUGAAGCCUCCUCUAGGCCUUUACCAUACUGUAGAACACUGAGGUUAAGACCUCAAGUUUUGAGGUCCAACAGGCCUGGGUUUGAACCUACCACUGUGUGACUAGGACAAGCUACCUAAGCUCUCUACAGCCUGCUAUCCAGUGGGGUAACCAUUAGCCAGGUAUGGCUAUUUAAAUUUAAAUUCUAAUUAAUUAAAUAAAAUCAAAAAUUUAGUUCCUCA